CAACACACAAUCAACCUUUUUUAUUUUUAGGAAAACUAAAGUACAUGAUGCAAUCAAAGGAAAUUUUUUUACAUCUCAAGAGAUCAUCUUAUUUAUUGAAUUAAACUACUGGCAAUAGUACAAGUCUUUUAUUUAUUUAAUACAGAAGAGUAACGCUAUGCUUAUUUAUUAAAUACUACAUAUUUCAUAUAUGUCUUUCAUGCAAAGUGAUAUAAAAUUGCAUUUUAAGGUACCAAAUCCACACUUUGUUUAUGAAAUACAAACUCUUGAAAGCAUAACAUUACUCAACAUAAAGCAACUCGUGUUUAGCCAAUCAACCAGUCUCAUUAAGGUUUCGCCCGUAUUGAGGAACUUCAAGAAGGUCAAGAUUAUCAUUUCUUAUCUCAUCAAUAAGAAUACUAUCCCAAUACGGCCAAAUAGGAACACCCUCCUUCAUAAGAAACAUCUCUGACCAUUGGUUCAUACCUGAUAAAAAUUUCUUUAUUAAAAAACAUAAUCUUAAAAUAUAUAUAUAAUUUAAUUAAUAAAGAAGAAUUAUAUAUAUAUAUAUAAAGAGAGAGAGAGAGAGAGAGAGAGAAAGAUAAGAAUUCGAACGGCAGUCAAAGUGAACUUGUCCUAAAAUGUACCUGCAAAAACAGCUUCCAUAUUCUUCAAAUCAGAAAAUUAAAGAACUCUCCCUGUUAAUGCAAUGAAAAGCAAGUAGUUUGAGAGACUUGAGCGAGGUGAGAUUUUGGUUCCGCCUUGAGAUGGUAUUUAUACACAUCCAAGUAGCGACGGUCAAUUGCGUGAAAGCGGUUCGCCCCGCACGUGGGGCCCGUGGCAAUUGGCUCCGAUUUCAUAAUAUCGAGCCCCUACCCUU
rnacentral:lncRNA from 1 species